AUGUCUAAAUGUCCAUGUAUUGUCAUGUAAAUCUCUGGCCACCAACUCCUGAGCAGGAGGUUGCAUUGAAAAGUCCAGUGAUGGGAAAAUCUUCUCAGCUGCUCGCCGAGGGACAGAGAAUCCACCAUGUGUGCUUGUGUCACUGGGCCGUAAGAGUUUUGCAGAAAAAUUCAGUAGGUUGCCUAUUUUGCUUGAGACCCAUGUCAGAUGCCAUUAAUGCUUCCUUUUCAUAUUUGCUUACAGGUUGAAGGGUCAUCUGAGCAUAGACCUCGUCAGUUUCUGCAUCAGCAUGCAAUGUGACAUUAUGAAGCAUGCAAAUCAACUUGGAAGGAAGGUUGGGAUAGUUCGGUAUGAAAUCAGUCUCCUUUUGCAUUGAUGCUGCAACUUGCUCACUGUGGCCUUGAGGGAAGUAAACAACAAGACUUCCAACUGGAGGCAGAGAGACCAAUGGCCCCGCACAAGCAUGCCAUAACUCCGAAUUAAUAUUCUUCCUUUCUCCUUCUGCAGAAUUAGCCAUAAACCCAUUUGGAGGAACCUUCAUUUUUGCAGAGUAUGAAUAGUAUAAACUGCUCCUUCAGCAAAUCCAA
rnacentral:misc_RNA from 1 species